UACGUAGGGCGCAAGCGUUGUCCGGAAUUAUUGGGCGUAAAGAGCUCGUAGGCGGUUUGUCGCGUCUGCUGUGAAAACCUAAGGCUCAACCUUGGGCUUGCAGUGGGUACGGGCAGACUAGAGGUGCGGGUAGGGGUGACUGGAAUUCCGUGGUGAUAGCGGUGGAAUGCGCAGAUAGUCAGGAGGAACACCAAUGGCGAAGGCAGCUCGCUGGGACGGGUACU
rnacentral:rRNA from 1 species